CUAUACAUGCAAGUCGAGCGGACAGAAGGGAGCUUGCUCCCGGAUGUUAGCGGCGGACGGGUGAGUAACACGUGGGUAACCUGCCUGUAAGACUGGGAUAACUCCGGGAAACCGGAGCUAAUACCGGAUAGUUCCUUGAACCGCAUGGUUCAAGGAUGAAAGACGGUUUCGGCUGUCACUUGCAGAUGGACCCGCGGCGCAUUAGCUAGUUGGUGGGGUAAUGGCUCACCAAGGCGACGAUGCGUAGCCGACCUGAGAGGGUGAUCGGCCACACUGGGACUGAGACACGGCCCAGACUCCUACGGGAGGCAGCAGUAGGGAAUCUUCCGCAAUGGACGAAAGUCUGACGGAGCAACGCCGCGUGAGUGAUGAAGGUUUUCGGAUCGUAAAGCUCUGUUGUUAGGGAAGAACAAGUGCGAGAGUAACUGCUCGCACCUUGACGGUACCUAACCAGAAAGCCACGGCUAACUACGUGCCAGCAGCCGCGGUAAUACGUAGGUGGCAAGCGUUGUCCGGAAUUAUUGGGCGUAAAGGGCUCGCAGGCGGUUUCUUAAGUCUGAUGUGAAAGCCCCCGGCUCAACCGGGGAGGGUCAUUGGAAACUGGGAAACUUGAGUGCAGAAGAGGAGAGUGGAAUUCCACGUGUAGCGGUGAAAUGCGUAGAGAUGUGGAGGAACACCAGUGGCGAAGGCGACUCUCUGGUCUGUAACUGACGCUGAGGAGCGAAAGCGUGGGGAGCGAACAGGAUUAGAUACCCUGGUAGUCCACGCCGUAAACGAUGAGUGCUAAGUGUUAGGGGGUUUCCGCCCCUUAGUGCUGCAGCUAACGCAUUAAGCACUCCGCCUGGGGAGUACGGUCGCAAGACUGAAACUCAAAGGAAUUGACGGGGGCCCGCACAAGCGGUGGAGCAUGUGGUUUAAUUCGAAGCAACGCGAAGAACCUUACCAGGUCUUGACAUCCUCUGACAACCCUAGAGAUAGGGCUUUCCCUUCGGGGACAGAGUGACAGGUGGUGCAUGGUUGUCGUCAGCUCGUGUCGUGAGAUG
rnacentral:rRNA from 1 species